CUCCCUCCCCCUCUCUCUCUCACUAAGAGCCUUCUUUGAUAAAUAUCUACUGAACUAGCAUCUUCCUUCUAGUAUCCACCAUUUUAUCGCCACUCCUCUUGUUAAUUAUCCUCACCUGACCUCAGUUAGACCUCAGUAUGGUAAGUGAUUCCUCUAUUCUUGUUCUCAUUAUAGGUACAUCAGAACUGAAGCUGUUGAAGACUACACCAGGAUAUUUCAAGUUGUAUGGUAGUGUGUGUAUUAUAUCAUAUUAUACUGGCUCUAUUGUUUUAUGUAGGACAACCAGUCAGUAUUUCAAUGAUCCUUUCAUUCAUUAUUGGUACGUGUGUAUUAUUAUUAUGUACACUCUAUGUUUGUAGGUAAUAAAGUCCUGCUCUAAUCUUUAUACAUGAUAUUACUUAGUAUAUUGUUUCAAGUCUCAUCUAUUGUUCAGUAAAUAUGUGUUGUUCUUGUAUUAUUAUCUAUUUUACAGGUUAUAUUCAUGUACUUGAUUCAUUCAGGAUAUUUUAAGUAUUGUCCAGUAUAUGAUUAUAUUAUUAUUUAUUUUAUAGGUGAUGGAGAUACUGAAUUAAGUCUUUAUGUGGUAGUUAUGCUGCAUUGGUAAUAAAUGGAAAAUGUAACAUGUAUUCUUGUUCAUUUUCAGGAUAUUAUCAGUAUUCUAAAGAUAGAACUACUUCAGUACAUCAAGUGUAUGGUAUAGUUUGGCAUUCAAUUCAUAAUCUUUUGUAUAUUGUCAGGUUGAUGUUCAUUACUAGUAUCAGAGGCAGUUCUCUAUUGGUUAAUGAUAUCCACACACUAUCAUAUUGCUACAUAGACUCAAGCCAGCAUGCAGUCUUCUUCAGCAUCAAUUCAGUCCCAGUCUUCAGUGUAUGGUAACAAUGUAUCUAUUGCAUGUUAUUAAUAACCUUGAUUACAGUGCUAAUAAUAAACGGCUCAUUUUAUCACUAUUCAUCCAUCCCAUUACAUGUAAUAAAGCACUGUCCCAUUGAUCUUUACUUAUUCUAUUGUUUAAACAUUUUUCUCUUUUUUUUAUUUCUACAGGGAUCAAGUUUAAAGUUGGUUGAGUGUGAGGUAGAGUGAGAGUUAAUAAUGUAUAAUUACGCAUGCUUAUAAUGUAUUUUAUGCAUGUACAAUAUAAUCCACACAUGUCCUUCCACCCCCCCCCCCCCAACCUCUAGUAGGUCUGACUGUUCUGGACUGGACUCAGGAUCAAGUUUAAAGUUGGUUGAGUGUGAGGUAGAGUGAGAGUUAAUAAUGUAUAAUUACGCAUGCUUAUAAUGUAUUUUAUGCAUGUACAAUAUAAUCCACACAUGUCCUUCCACCCCCCCAACCUCUAGUAGGUCUGACUGUUCUGGACUGGACUCAGGAUCAAGUUUAAAGUUGGUUGAGUGUGAGGUAGAGUGAGAGUUAAUAAUGUAUAAUUACGCAUGCUUAUAAUGUAUUUUAUGCAUGUACAAUAUAAUCCACACAUGUCCUUCCACCCCCCCCACCUCUAGUAGGUCUGACUGUUCUGGACUGGACUCAGGAUCAAGUUUAAAGUUGGUUGAGUGUGAGGUAGAGUGAGAGUUAAUAAUGUAUAAUUACGCAUGCUUAUAAUGUAUUUUAUGCAUGUACAAUAUAAUCCACACAUGUCCUUCCACCCCCCCAACCUCUAGUAGGUCUGACUGUUCUGGACUGGACUCAGGAUCAAGUUUAAAGUUGGUUGAGUGUGAGGUAGAGUGAGAGUUAAUAAUGUAUAAUUACGCAUGCUUAUAAUGUAUUUUAUGCAUGUACAAUAUAAUCCACAUAUUCUGCUCUCUCCCUCCACCCCCCCUCUAGUAGGUCUGACUGUUCUGGACUGGACCCUGGUAAGGAUUGAUUGCAUGUUCUCCAUUAUUACAUGUAAUGGGAUGAAUAGUGAUAAAAUGAGCCAAUGGUUUAAAAUUUAUAAAAAAAUUAAAAUUAAAAACCAAUUAACUCAAUUACUAAGUGGGCAGGGCUAGUAAAGUAUAGCCACACCUCUAGCCAGUAGAGCUCUAGCCACACCCCCAAUAAAGGUAUUAGCCACACCUCCUACUAAUAAAAAGGCCAUCAUACUGUACCAUACAGGUGC